GGCCGUAUGGUGUAGUUGGUUAUCACGCAUCCUUCACACUCGUGCUCGGAUGAGGUCUUGAGUUCGAACCUCAAUGUGGUCA